rnacentral:rRNA from 1 species
AUGACCAUCACGGCGAAGCGGUCGGAGCACGUGGACUUCACGAUGCCUUUCAUCGCCACGUCGAUCACCAUGAUUGUACCGCUACACGACCAACGGAGCAGCAACAAGUGGACGUGGGUCUUCCUCAAGCCGCUUCGCUAUGACCUCUGGCUCGUCAGCGCCGCCUUCUUCAUCUUCACCGGUUUCGUGGUCUGGGCCAUCGAGCGCCGUGACAAUGAGAGGUUCGGCGGGACGCAGUCGAGCCAAGCGGGCACCAUGCUCUACUUUGGCUUCUCCACCCUCGUCUUCACCCACAACGAGAAGGUUAAAAGCAACCUAUCGAGGCUGGUCGUGGUAGUGUGGGUCUUCGUGGUGCUCCUCCUGCAGUCCAGCUACACCGCCAGCCUCACCUCCCUGCUCACGGUGCCGCAGAUCGGGCCAACCAUCGUGGACUACCGCACGCUGUUGCUAGGCACGGAGAAGGUGGGGAUCCUCAACAACUCCUUGACACCGCAAGUCAUAAACCAGUCUGGGCUCCCGCAGGCGGAGAGCUUUCAAGAGGCACUGUUGAACGGCAGCAUCGGCACCGUCAUUGACGAGACGCCUUACCUCAACAUCUUCCUCCAGACCUACCGGGACAACUUCACCGUGACUGGCCAACCCAACAUGACCGGCGGCUUCGCGUUCGCGUUCCCCAGGGGGUCACCGUACGUGAAAGACAUGUCGCAGGCGAUCCUGAACCUCACCGAGAGCGGCGAGAUGAACAGGAUCGAGCGCAAGUGGCUCGGCGACCAGGAUGACCACAGGUCACAGGGCGGCGGACCGUUCACGACGAACCAUCUCAACUUCAGCAGCUUCCGAAGCCUGUUUGUCAUCACCGGCGCCACCUCGCUCAUUUGCCUCACCAUCCACCUUGCUUUCUUCCAUAAGGAGGGCUACUGGUUACCCCUCCCGCAGAUCAUGUCACGCCCGCCGUGGAAGGUCAGGCUCUUUUUUUGA